GAUUGACUGACCGCCUCCCGCGCCGCGCCCGGGGUGGCGGAGGGCGCCUGCCCCGGGCCGGGCGGGGGGGGUGGGGGCCAAGACGCCUCCCGCACCCCGGAGCGGAGGCUGUCGCCGGAGCCCGGGCGCGCUCCCGUCCCCGGCCUGGCGGGCGCGUCGCCGCCGCUCGGCUCCCCGGAUGGCACGCCGCCCCACCUCGGACCGCUCACUGGCUGGGGGGGUGCCGCGGGCCGGCGCCGGCCGGCUCCGGACGACCCCUGGCCUCUCCUGUUCUUCAGCCGGCCUGGCUCAAAGCCAAGCCGGGGCCGCCCGAGCCGCCGGACCCCAUCCUCGGACAGGCAGGGAC
rnacentral:lncRNA from 1 species